CAAAUUUCUCACCCCUCAACUGAACCCUAUUAAUCCACAACUCUUCGCUAUGAGUAGGGUACGUACCACGAUCCUCAUCGGGUUUCCCAUAAGAAGAUCAGAUCCACAACGAGACUCCAUUUCCUGCUGGCAAACGCCUUGAAAUGUCCGACUGUGUGAAAACGGUGUCACAGGACGGCUCCGGUGACUACCGCACCGUACAGGAGGCCAUCGACGCCGUGCCUCUCAAAAACACGUGUCGCAUUGUGAUUCGUAUAUCUCCCGGCAUCUACCAGCAGCCGGUGUAUGUCCCCAAGACCAAGAACCUCAUCACACUGACUGGUUUGCUUCCGGAGGAGACUGUGCUGACGUGGAACAACACCGCCACCAAAAUCGAGCACCACCAGAAUUCUGAGGUGAUUGGGACUGGGACUUUUGCAUGUGGGAGUACAAUACUGGAAGGAGAGGACUUCAUUGCUGAGAAUAUCACUUUUGAGAACUCUUCUCCUGAGGGUUCAGGCCAAGCUGUGGCAAUGAGAGUAACAGCGGAUAGGUGUGCCUUCUAUAACUGCAGAUUCCUUGGAUGGCAGGAUACCCUAUACUUACAUCAUGGAAAGCAGUAUUUGAAAGAUUGUUAUAUUGAAGGAAGUGUAGACUUCAUUUUCGGCAAUAGCACAGCUCUUUUGGAGCAUUGUCAUAUCCACUGCAAGUCGGAAGGUUUCAUAACCGCGCACAAAAGAAAUUCAUGCGAGGAGGCAACAGGAUAUGUGUUCCUAAGAUGUGUAAUCACUGGAAAUGGAGGUACUCCAUACGCAUUUCUGGGACGACCAUGGGGACCUUGUGGAAGAGUGGUCUUUGCAUUUACAUAUAUGGAUGCAUGCAUCAAACAUGUAGGCUGGAAUAAUUGGGAUAAAACAGAGAAUGAAGGAAGCGCUUGCUUUAACGAAUACAGGUGUUUCGGACCGGGUAGUUGCCCAGAAAAACGAGUGACAUGGGCUAGACAACUGGGAUGUGAGGAAGCAGACCAUUUCCUCAAUCAUUAUUACAUCGACCCAGACCCGCAAAGGCCUUGGCUUGCUCAGAGAAUGGCCCUAAGAAUACCACAUUCUGCAUAGACGUUUAAAUCAGAACUACAUGGGGAUGACUCCCAACAAAUAAUGAUAGAGAAUAUUUAGACUUCGUUUUAAGAUGAGUGAAUAAAAAAGCACGCAAUUACUGUUUCAGAAUAAGCCUUGUUCGGCAGUACUGCUGAUCAUCUAUGAUCGAACUCCCUAACAACAACUGAUGGCUGAGGAAACUCUUUGAGGCAAAUGGUGGUUGAUAACUUCUACAGACCAGAUUUGAAGAAAGCGGCCCUUGCUAGGCUCAGUGUGGUUCACAGGAGUCUCCAGGUGUCAAAAUCUGGUGCCAGGAAGAGGAAUAGGCAGGCUGUUAAUUAGAACCUACGGAAUCUCUCACCUCUCACUGACCCUAAUCCCCAAUUUGUGCAAUUUCCCUCCUCCAUGAGUAUAAUACCAGGAUCAUCAUCCGAUCGAUCUCUCGCAGAAAGAUCAUAUCUGCAACAAGACUACCUUUUUUUUGCUGGUGAGAAGGUUGACCCGGGCCAUAGAAAACACCCUCCUCACAGAACACUUGGCUCUGGCACUGAUUCUAAAGUCGAAUUAGUGGGUUCAUAUACUCCUAAUAAAUCUGAACAACCAGGUGAUUUUCUUUCAGAGGGAUAUAUAAUGGUUUGUAAGAGCUGUGGGGUUGAAAAUUGUCGCAGCGGUAUGAACCAUCCUCUUUACAUGACUUGUUCCCUUGAUAAUGAUCAAGGGAAGCACUGGCCUAAUAAUUGCCCUUCAAGAAAACUUCGUGGUCCCCUUGAUACUAUGUUAUUAAAGCAUUUAAAUACGGUUAUUAGUUCUCGAUCACUAUAUUAAGGAUAAGAGAUACUACUAUCUAGGCAACUGAAUUAUCAAUGUUUGUACAUGUUACUAUUCAGCUAUGGAUAUGAUCCUCAAGGU